rnacentral:lncRNA from 1 species
GGAGUUGGAUCAAGGGGCUCGACCGCGGGCUUCACGUCGGGCUUUGGGCCAUGCCGCACUGCGUGGCGAGGAGCUUGAAUUUCUGCAAAGUCCCCAUCUUUUGGAUUUGAGGUCUGUUGCUGCUGCUAACUCCCAUUCCUCUCUAUAUAUACAUGUGAAUUUUUUGGGGUGAAUAUUUGAAUUUAAAAUGGUGAAUGAUUGCAGGGGAGAAACUGAGACACGAUUGAUUGCUUGUGAAAUGGAGAAAAGGUUAUGUUGGGAGGUCUGCGAAAGUUUUCUAGAAAAGCUCUGG